rfam:Mycoplasmataceae bacterium CE_OT135 Contig_25, whole genome shotgun sequence.
AGAGGUGUAGUUCAAUGGUAGAACGACAGUCUCCAAAACUGAAAAUGGGGGUUCGAUUCCUCUCACCUCUG